UACCGUGAAACUGCGAAUGGCUCAUUAAAUCAGUUAUCGUUUAUUUGAUAGUACCUUACCACUUGGAUAACCGUGGUAAUUCUAGAGCUAAUACAUGCUAAAAACCCCGACUUCGGAAGGGGUGUGUUUAUUAGAUAAAAAACCAAUGCCCUUCGGGGCUCUUUGGUGAUUCAUGAUAACCUAACGGAUCGCAUGGCCUUGCGCCGGCGACGGUUCAUUCAAAUUUCUGCCCUAUCAACUUUCGAUGGUAAGGUAUUGGCUUACCAUGGUUUCAACGGGUAACGGGGAAUUAGGGUUCGAUUCCGGAGAGGGAGCCUGAGAAACGGCUACCACAUCCAAGGAAGGCAGCAGGCGCGCAAAUUACCCAAUCCCGACACGGGGAGGUAGUGACAAUAAAUACUGAUACAGGGCUCUUUUGGGUCUUGUAAUUGGAAUGAGUACAAUUUAAACCCCUUAACGAGGAACAAUUGGAGGGCAAGUCUGGUGCCAGCAGCCGCGGUAAUUCCAGCUCCAAUAGCGUAUAUUAAAGUUGUUGCAGUUAAAAAGCUCGUAGUUGAAACUUGGGUCUGGCUAGCGGGUCCGCCUCACCGCGUGCACUUGUCCGGCUGGACCUUUCCUUCUGGAGAACCUCAUGCCCUUCACUGGGUGUGUUGGGGAACCAGGACUUUUACUUUGAAAAAAUUAGAGUGUUCAAAGCAGGCCUUUGCUCGAAUACGUUAGCAUGGAAUAAUAGAAUAGGACGUGCGGUCCUAUUUUGUUGGUUUCUAGGAUCGCCGUAAUGAUUAAUAGGGAUAGUCGGGGGCAUCAGUAUUCAAUUGUCAGAGGUGAAAUUCUUGGAUUUAUUGAAGACUAACUACUGCGAAAGCAUUUGCCAAGGAUGUUUUCAUUAAUCAGUGAACGAAAGUUAGGGGAUCGAAGACGAUCAGAUACCGUCGUAGUCUUAACCGUAAACUAUGCCGACUAGGGAUCGGGCGAUGUUUCUAUCUUGACUCGCUCGGCACCUUACGAGAAAUCAAAGUUUU
rnacentral:rRNA from 1 species